CGGUCCCGCUUCGGCGGGAUAGUUGCGAACGGCUGAGUAACACGUAAGAAUCUACCCCUUGGAGGAGAAUAGUCCGCCGAAAGGCGGGUUAAUACUGCAUAAGUUGCAUCCCCUGAAAAGGAUGCAGGAAAGGGCGUAACUGCCCGCCGAGGGAGGAGCUUGCGGCCCAUCAGCUUGUUGGUGGGGUAAUGGCCUACCAAGGCUAAGACGGGUAGGGGGCGUGAGAGCGUGAUCCCCCAGAAUGGCACUGAGACACGGGCCAUACACCUACGGGUGGCAGCAACCGGGAAUCGUGCGCAAUGGACGAAAGUCUGACGCCGCGACGCCGCGUGUGGGAUGAAUGCUUUCGGGUUGUAAACCACUUUUGCCAGGAGGGAGACCGACUGGAGAAUAAGCGCCGGCUAACUACGUGCCAGCAGCAGCGGUAAUACGUAGGGCGCAAGCGUUGUCCGGAGUUAUUGGGCGUAAAGAGUUCGUAGGCUUUCAGGUAAGUCGUCUUUCAAAGACCGGGGCUCAACCUCGGAAAGGGGGAUAAUACUGCCUGAAUUGAAAAGUUUCGGGGCUACUGGAACUGUCGGUGUAGGAGUGAAAUCCGUUGAUAUCGACAGGAACACCGAGGGCGAAGGCAGGUAGCUAGGAACAUUUUGACGCUGAGGAACGAAAGCCAGGGGAGCGAAAGGGAUUAGAGACCCCUGUAGUCCUGGCCGUAAACGAUGCUCGCUAGGGAUUGGCCCAGCCCUUUCUAUGAUUAGUGUAUAUAUAUGCAGUUUGGAUUUUUGUUUUAUUGAUUUGCAGAUAUAC
rnacentral:rRNA from 1 species